GUAGCUCAGCUGGAUAGAGUACUCGGCUACGAACCGAGCGGUCGGAGGUUCGAAUGCGCCU
rnacentral:tRNA from 1 species